GCCAAAGUAUGCACCUCGCUGCCCAGGGCUGAAGCUGAAGCCGAAGCCCGAGGGCUUCACCCUGGGCAGCAUGGGUCAGGCUUUACCUUCAGCCCUGGGCAGCGGGACUCAGGUUACAGU